rnacentral:rRNA from 1 species
UACGAAGGGGGCUAGCGUUGUUCGGAAUUACUGGGCGUAAAGGGCGCGCAGGCGGCUCUUCAAGUCAGAUGUGAAAGCCCCGGGCUCAACCUGGGAAUAGCAUUUGGGACUGGUCGGCUAGAGUUCGGGAGAGGAGAGUGGAAUUCCCAGUGUAGAGGUGAAAUUCGUAGAUAUUGGGAAGAACACCGGUGGCGAAGGCGGCGACCUGGUCCGGGACUGACGCUGAGGCGCGAAAGCGUGGGGAGCAAACAGG